UUUAACUGAAGAGUUUGAUCAUGGCUCAGAUUGAACGCUGGCGGCAGGCUUAACACAUGCAAGUCGAGCGGGGGAAGGUAGCUUG
rnacentral:rRNA from 1 species